rnacentral:tRNA from 1 species
GGCGAUUUAGCUCAGCGGCAUAAGCACCUGCCUUGCAAGCAGGCGGUUUUGAGUUUGAUCGCCG